rnacentral:rRNA from 1 species
AUUCCUACGGGAGGCAGCAGUGGGGAAUUUUGGACAAUGGGGGCAACCCUGAUCCAGCCAUUCCGCGUGAGUGAAGAAGGCCUUCGGGUUGUAAAGCUCUUUCAGCGGGAACGAAACGGUACGCUCUAAUAUAGUGUGCUAAUGACGGUACCCGCAGAAGAAGCACCGGCUAACUACGUGCCAGCAGCCGCGGUAAUACGUAGGGUGCGAGCGUUAAUCGGAAUUACUGGGCGUAAAGCGUGCGCAGGCGGCUUUUUAAGCCAGACGUGAAAUCCCCGGGCUUAACCUGGGAAUGGCGUUUGGAACUGGAAGGCUAGAGUGUGUCAGAGGGGGGUAGAAUUCCACGUGUAGCAGUGAAAUGCGUAGAGAUGUGGAGGAAUACCGAUGGCGAAGGCAGCCCCCUGGGAUAACACUGACGCUCAUGUACGAAAGCGUGGGUAGCAAACAGGAUUAGAUACCCUGGUAGUCCACGCCCUAAACGAUGUCAACUGGUUGUUGGGAGAGUGAAAUCUCUUAGUAACGAAGCUAACGCGUGAAGUUGACCGCCUGGGGAGUACGGUCGCAAGAUUAAAACUCAAAGGAAUUGACGGGGACCCGCACAAGCGGUGGAUGAUGUGGAUUAAUUCGAUGCAACGCGAAAAACCUUACCUACCCUUGACAUGUCCAGAAUCCUGCAGAGAUGUGGGAGUGCCCGAAAGGGAAUUGGAACACAGGUGCUGCAUGGCUGUCGUCAGCUCGUGUCGUGAGAUGUUGGGUUAAGUCCCGCAACGAGCGCAACCCUUAUCAUUAGUUGCUACGCAAGAGCACUCUAAUGAGACUGCCGGUGACAAACCGGAGGAAGGUGGGGAUGACGUCAAGUCCUCAUGGCCCUUAUGGGUAGGGCUUCACACGUCAUACAAUGGUCGGUACAGAGGGUUGCCAAGCCGCGAGGUGGAGCCAAUCCCAGAAAGCCGAUCGUAGUCCGGAUUGUUCUCUGCAACUCGAGAGCAUGUAGUCGGAAUCGCUAGUAAUCGCGGAUCAGCAUGUCGCGGUGAAUACGUUCCCGGCCCUUUACACACGCCAUCCAUAUACUAAUAGAUCCUC